CGGGGAGCAUCUUAGCUGUUUGAGGUUCUAGAAAGCGUUUAACGUCUUAAAAGAAACACCUGCGGGUGAAGACAGGUGUCAGCGGACUCUUGGAAGAGAGGAGGUGAUGUUUCUUUUACUUAUGGGAAAUUUAGGGAUUGAAACCUGAAGACGAAGCCGAGGUAUCCUCCCAGAAGAAGCUCCUUUCGCACAAAUUACUCGUGGUUGAAAGUCUUAAGUCGUGAUUAAAACAAAUGCCUUUAAAGUGCCCAAUUUAUAGGCAGUAACGCAACCUUACUUUCUCUUACCGCUUUUAUAGGGAUUCCCCUAGGCAGUUUGCUGACAGUAUUUUAGGUGGGGAAGAAAAGUGAUUAAUGGAAUGCCCUAAAAGCUUAUUGCACAGAGGAAGGGAGGCUAGAGUGGAAUGAGAGAAUGACAAAUUUGGAGGCGACAAUAACUGAACAAGAGAAAUCUAUGAAAACACCGGAAACCUGGCACGAGGCCUUAAAAGCUUCUAAGCAGGCUUGAACUACCACACGAGGUUUUGAAGCAUAUGUGUCAGAACUCUUGGGUGGGCGGGAAAGAUAAGGAAUGUUAUGGGAGAUUCCCUUCUUAGAAGCUAUCCUAAGUAGUGUUUCGUGUCCUCCUGUGAGUUUUUCCUGUUUCAUCCUCCUAACAAAUGCAUUAGGUUUGUGACACGCAAGCAAGUCCUCAGAAUAAAUUAUACAUACAGUUGAAAAGAUAAUCUUUCCACAUUUGAAAUUCUGUGACACACUCUUUAUUGAACUCAUUAAGACCUAAUCGUAGCCAGUUCUGUAUCUCAUUUAUCCAUGUUAGAGCAUGACAGUUCCUCCUGGGAUAUCAACAGAACUUUACUUCCGGGACGGCACUAAUCCGAGGCUUGACAGGUCCCAGCAGGUGAUAGGUCUCACCUAGUGAUAGUUAGAAUUUAACUUGCACAAGAUUAACUAGAGUUCAGGCCAGAACAGCUGGAAGGGGCAGCUUCCAAAUCUUAUACAUUUGCCCUCUUGCUUUUUUCUCAAUAUCAGUUGAGGACAAAGUAAGGAGAAAGCUUUUCUUCUACAGUGUAAUAAAGCUCCUAUUCAGAGUGCCCACCAUCCAUACUCCGGAGGCUAAUGACAGUCAUUACCAAGUGACAGUCUUGUGGCAUUUGGCAUUUAGGGCUACUUAGUCUGGACUUAAGGGCGCCUACUCAUUGGAUUUAAGUUUACUGUUGUUAUGGACACCCAUGGAAUGCUAGCUUGUCACAUAAAACCUUAAUAUCAAACAUCACUUGCCUUUUAGAAUCAUUCGCAAGAGUAUGUGGCUUAUGAAUGAGUCAUUUUGAUAUAAGAUGGAAGCUUAUAUCAGUGAUUCUGUCUAGAAGGAAUUAAAAAGCAGAUUUUCAUCAGGAGCAAGCAUGUUUGUAAGACAAAUGUGCACAGAGGCUAACAGAAUUUCAGGAGUUACUUUUGCCCUAUGGCAAGAUUGUUCUCCAUACUUAAUUAUGUUACAGUAUCAUAUCCUGAACCCUGUGUCCUGGUCUAUUCGAUGAGCUGUCUCUCUUAUGAAUUUUUAAAUAACGAGGUCGUGGUUCACAAAGAUGAUCAUAAAUCCAUUUAAGGCAAAGAUGAACUCCAAAGAAUAUUAGACUUGUACAAACUUAGUACUUGACAGGGCUUUGGAAAUUAAACUCUAGCUCCUUGUUGUACAGAUAAAGAAACUGAAGCUUAAGUGAUGUGCUCAGAAUUACUUGGUUGGGGACAAAUCCUGGGCUAGGACCCAAGGUUGCUAAUUCAUAUAAUUCUGGGAAGAUGCUUCCUCUUCCUGCUGCCUUCUCCUCCUCACCCCAAAAGCAAUGUAUUUUUUAAAUUAAGAUUAAUUUUAGGAUUCACUUCCAUUGAAGACCAGUCAUGAGGACUUCAGUUCUGAUACAGCAAGUGAUAUAGAUACUAUGAAAAUAAUUCAGUGUCAUCAAACAGCUUUUGAUGUAGUCUCACUUUUAUCCAAACAAGAAAUGAAAAGCAAUAAAUUAUUAUAGCUAUGUUGUCUCUUUGUCUUCCUUUCUGUUACAGGUGUAUAUCAAAAAGUCAGUAUUAACCCAUGUGAUACUUUGAGUUUUAGUUGAAAAUUGUCUUCCUUGUGACCUGAAUAAACCACUAUUUUAUUGAUAGCAUACAUACCUGGUCAAAAUAAUUUCACAGUUAUGUGCACAGAGCCUCUAGCCUUUUCCACGUAUGGCUGAAUUGGUCCACCGUGCAUCAAA
rnacentral:lncRNA from 1 species